UGAGGAACUUGUCCCGGUCUCUGGGAUAACAGUUGGAAACGACUGCUAAUACCGGAUGACGUCGGAACUUCGCAUGGAGUACUGACGAAAGGGUUAUUGGAUCGGGAGAGCCUCGCGGCCUAUCAGCUUGUUGGUGGGGUAAUGGCCUACCAAGGCAUCGACGGGUAGCUGGUCUGAGAGGAUGAUCAGCCACACUGGGACUGAGACACGGCCCAG
rnacentral:rRNA from 1 species